rnacentral:rRNA from 1 species
UGGGGAAUAUUGCACAAUGGGCGCAAGCCUGAUGCAGCCAUGCCGCGUGUGUGAAGAAGGCCUUCGGGUUGUAAAGCACUUUCAGCGAGGAGGAAGGUGGUGAGCUUAAUACGCUCAUCAAUUGACGUUACUCGCAGAAGAAGCACCGGCUAACUCCGUGCCAGCAGCCGCGGUAAUACGGAGGGUGCAAGCGUUAAUCGGAAUUACUGGGCGUAAAGCGCACGCAGGCGGUUUGUUAAGUCAGAUGUGAAAUCCCCGGGCUCAACCUGGGAACUGCAUUUGAAACUGGCAAGCUAGAGUCUCGUAGAGGGGGGUAGAAUUCCAGGUGUAGCGGUGAAAUGCGUAGAGAUCUGGAGGAAUACCGGUGGCGAAAGGCGGCCCCCUGGACGAAGACUGACGCUCAGGUGCGAAAGCGUGGGGGGCCAAAACAGGAUUAGAUACCCUGGUAGUCCAGCGCUGUAAACGAUGUCGAUUUUGGAGGUUGUGCCCUUGAGGCGUGGCUUCCGGAGCUAACGCGUUAAAUCGACCGCCUGGGGAGUACGGCCGCAAGGUUAAAACUCAAAUGAAUUG